rnacentral:rRNA from 1 species
UACGUAGGGGGCGAGCGUUGUCCGGAGUUACUGGGCGUAAAGCGCACGCAGGCGGUCUGCUAAGUUUGGAGUGACAGUUGGUGGCUUAACUGCCAAAGUGCUUCGAAAACUGACAGACUUGAGGGCUUCAGAGGGACACGGAAUUCCGGGUGGAGUGGUGAAAUGCGUAGAGAUCCGGAGGAACACCAAAGGCGAAGGCAGUGUCCUGGGGAGUACCUGACGCUCGGGUGCGAAAGCUAGGGGAGCGAACGGG